AGGCUCACAUCUUUAUAUCCUAAAACAGAGUCUCCACAGUUUGCCUGUCAGAUGGAGGAUCAUCCACACCCAGCUGACACUGAUGGCUGGGUUUUAUGUAGGCCAAUAAAGACCCGGCCUAGAGUGUGGGGAAAAGCCACCCACCCAGCAC